AACGAACGCUGGCGGCGUGCCUAACACAUGCAAGUCGUGCGAGAAAGUUCCUUCGGGAGCGAGUAAAGCGGCGCACGGGUGAGUAACACGUAGGUAACCUGCCCCCCAGUCUGGAACAACUAGAGGAAACUCUAGCUAAUGCCGGAUGAGACCACGAUCCCUUCGGGGGUUGCGGCCAAAGAUGGCCUCUACUUGUAAGCUAUCGCUGAGGGAUGGGCCUGCGGCCAUUAGCUUGUUGGUGAGGUAACGGCUCACCAAGGCUGUGAUGGCUAGCUGGUCUGAGAGGAUGACCAGCCACACUGGGACUGAGACACGGCCCAGACUCCUACGGGAGGCAGCAGUGGGGAAUAUUGCGCAAUGGGCGAAAGCCAGACGCAGCGACGCCGCGUGGGUGAUGAAGGCCUGGUCGUAAGACCUCGUCGCCAGGGGAAGGAAGUAAA
rnacentral:rRNA from 1 species